ensembl:lncRNA
CAGAAGCAAAGAGCUGAAGAGGCGGGUGAUGAAUUUGGGUGAAAACCACAGCAACCAUCGCUCUCUGCAUGUCAGACACUCUCAAGAGCCGGUAUUGCAAGUCUGGAGUAUGUGUGAAAAUGGGAGAGAUUGCAGACAGCAAGUGGCAGACGAGCUGCAGCCGCCGUCCUGCCCAUUGCUGUGGGUCUGCAGGAUGGGGCUGUCCUCAGCAGCAUGUCUUCUGGAGUUGUGCCUACUGGAAAAUGCAAGCUCCCCAUGCUGGGACUCUCCUCCUUUUCUUGCUGUGCCAGUGCCUGACCACUCCUUUGGAGAAGAAAUGUUUCCUGAUAUCCAACCUGAAAAGGGAAGGGAAGCAUGGAGAUUACAGACAGUCUGCUGAGCCCAGCGGAUGAACACGCUGCAAAAAAUUCCAAGUCUGCAACAGAGCUGGGUUUCCUGGGAAGAGGAAGGCAGAAUUUUGAUUGCAUCCUUUAAGAAAUAAGUGUUGGGGCUGUCCAGACAUGGAAAAAGAUGCCAUUUGGAGCAGAAAGAUGUGCAGCUCUCUGCUACCUUCCAGCAUUGACUUUCUGCCAACGCAUGGGCUCACAUGGGGAAUUGGGGAUAAAUGCAGGCUUUUCUUUCCUUGGUUGAACUGCUAAAGCCCUGUAGAGCUGAGAACACCGCUCUGCAGGCAGACGGAUCCGGGGAUGCAAGAUUUAUGAGCACAUGUUGCUGCGUACCCAUCUGACCGAUGCUUCUCAUCCCGAUGUGCUUUUCCAGUGUCGCUCCCUAAAGAGCGACAUCAUCUAUUAAUUAACCUAAAUGGCAGAACACAUGCUUUCCUCUUAGCGAACGAUAAACAGAACCAGAUGACCCGUGAAUGAAAAAUAAGGUUGUGACAUGCUCCAGGCAACGUUGUUCCAUGAUAAAGAGAUACCGUCACUGCAGGAUGGAUGGUCCUACCAUAAAAAAUGAGGCAGGGGAGUGAUGGGCUUGGCUUACAGACAUAGCUCUUGAGCAACCUGACACGAGCUUAAAUAAAUCAGUGCAGGAACUCAUCAGGGCCAAGAAGGGACCAGAAUCCACAAUGGCAGUGCAGUGCUGAGCAUCAUUUCCAUGAAGGGACCACUAGCUUUGUGCGAUGAGUUUAGUGGCCUCCACAGAUUACAGAGCUGUCGUGGUGAGUAACUGUCUCCUUUCCUGUUAAUAUUGGAAGGAUUUGAUGGUGGAGACCGAACCCCUCCCUUCCCAUUUCGUGCUAGGUGUGGGAUGAACUGCUUGGACAGAGGCUUGUUCUGCUGGCGAGUCCUCCGGGACUCAUCUCUAUGUAAUACAAAUCCAUUUAUAUUGGGAAUAUUCUCUCCUGACCCAUAGCAAAGGGUGACUGAUUUCCAGCCUGAAGAACAGCACUGAGGCAAAACAGACCACAACUCUCUGUGCAAACUCUGUGAGCUCAGAUGUGCCAUAAAUUCAUGACCCUGCUAGCUCUAGGCAGAACUUGCAGAGGAAUUGGAAAGAUUUGUCUUUAGAUUGUGCUGAAUUUGCCGUUUUUCUCCCAUUACUGUGUUAAUUGUUGUACCUAAAGAGUGUGGAGGAAAAAGGAGCAGCAGCACAAGGAUUUAUACUUCAGCACUGCUUGCUUGUCAGUCCUUCCUUUCUUGUUCUCUAUAGCUGCAUGAGAUGUGAAUAUUUUUCUCAGUGUUCAUGAUUUGAUUUAGGUCUGCAGGAGGGACACCAGAAAGAUGUGAUUGCUGGUCUAAAACUUUCAGCCACCUCUGAUCCAGGCUGGGAUGUCACAGCUGACCAGUUAAAAUGAAACUUAAAAUAUGCAGCAAGUCUGACCAGCCCCUCUGUGACAGCCCCGCAGGAGAGACUUUCUUCCAUGGCCAUUGCCCUGGGUGCUGCUGCAAAGCCAGUUCAUGGAAUCACAGAAUGGUUUGGAAGAAACCUUAAAGGCCACUCAGUCCCAAACCCCAUGGUCAGGGCCACCUCCCACCACACCAAAUUGCUCAAAGCCCCAUCCAAUUCAGCCUUGAGCACCUCCAGGGAUGGGGCAUACACAGCUUCUCCGUGCCACUGUGUCACCAUUGUCAUGGUAAACCAUUUCUGGCCAUCACACUAAUGGGUGCUUUACCACCAUGGGACAGCCUCAGCCCUUGACUCCUCUAUUAUUCUUUCUAGCUCAGUCUUAACUAUGGGCUCUCCAGAAGGAGCAGGGAGGUAGGAUGAAACACACCAUCAUUUCUAUGAAAUCUCAAUGCCCCCAGGGCUGAGAUUGGGCUGUUUAAGAGAAGCGGUGCUUGGAGACAGACAGCAAGAGGAAAGAUUUUUGCUGCAGGGCAAUACAGAGAGUAAUGAGGGAAAAUGGCAAUGCGGCUGAGAUGCUUGCAGUGCAGGGUUCUGCUGGCAUCAUUGAUAUCAAGACAGGCACAAGUAACAGCACUGUCCAGGCAAGAGAUAAAUCCACAUCUGUGUGCUGUGUGGAUGUGUGACAUGGAUGGAAGGGCAGGAGCCAGGAAUUGUGCCCUUUUAGCAGUGCCAGAACAUGGUGCUACUGCUUUACCAGGACAUUCCCUGGUAUCAUCUACCACCAAAAGCUUUCAAACCAGAAGCGAUUAGAAAUAUCUAUCAAUAUUUGUUCCUAGGCACCAAGAAGGAGGGACACGGUUUGGUGGGCAUGGCGGUGAUGGGUUGAUGGUUGGACUAGGUGGUCUUAGUGCUCUUUUCCAACCUUAAUGAUUCUGUGAUUCUAUGAUUCUAUGAUUCCAGGAAGGAUGCCCAUUGCUUCUGUGCAGCUAUGCAGUCCAUAGGUGCUAUUACCUCUAAGAGGAUCUUCAUCAUGAGCCACUGCACAGAAUUCCCUUUGGGACACCACAGUGGCAACCUCUUGCUCCUGCAUGGAGAAGAUUCUCCACCUGUGCUAUCAAUGAGACAAAUAUCCCAGAAACCUGCAGCAUUCCCACCAGUUUUCUUUGUCCAAACACAAGUAAAAUCAUGGAAUCAUAGAAUCAUCAAGGUUGGAAAAGACCGCUAAGAUCAUCUGCUGCACCCAAUCCUGAUGGCCAAAGGUGCCAGGAGCGAUGUGGGUGCAGAAGAUGAGGAAGAGGAUGGAGUCACCAGCAGUUCAGUGCUGAAAGAAGAUCUCUGAGAGAAAGAAUUAUAAAGCAAGUGCACAGGCCUUGUGUGAGUGCAGCAGUUCAGCUCUGGCAAUUCCUGACUGCAGGGUAGGAGAGGGUUAAAAGAAAGCUCUGAGCAAGGCCUCAGACUGCAAGGGAUGCUCUCAAGGACAAGCUGCAAUCUCCCCAGAAGGCCUCCUACCCUUUUGACCAGGCUGGAAAGAGAAUGUCU